UAAAAAUUUGGUCUUAAUUUUAUUAUCUGUUUUUACUAGAAUUAUACAUGCAAGCCUCCACAACCCUGUGAGAAUGCCCAUUACUCUAUUUCGGACAAACGGGGCAGAUAUCAGGCACGCCUUUGCAGCCCAUGACAUCUUGCUUAGCCACACCUCCAAAGGACACAGCAGUAGUUAAUAUUAGGCAAUGGGUGAAAACCUGACCUAGUUAUAGUAAUUUAUAGUUGGUCAAAUUCGUGCCAGCCACCGCGGUUACACGAAUAACUAAAACUGAUAAAACCGGCACAAAGGGUGGUUAAUAUAACUCAGAAUAAAGUUAAACAUACUACCAGACGUAUAAACCUAAACAGUAUAUGAAACCCUCUCCACAAUGAAACUUUAUCCCCUUGACCCCACGUAAGCUAUUAUACAAACUAGGAUUAGACACCCUACUAUGCUUAGUCGUAAACUUUGACUCCGCCUGGAUACUACGAGUUAACGCUUAAAAACCAAAAGACCUGGCGGUGCUUUAUUCCCCCUAGAGGAGCCUGUUUCAUAACCGAUAAUCCACGUUAAACCUUACCCUUUCUUGCAUCCAGCCUAUAUACCGCCGUCUUUAGUCUACCUUAAAAAGUUAAAUAUUAGGCAAAAUUUAAUACUCCCUUAAAACGUCAGGUCGAGGCGUAGCCAAUGAAAGGGCGCAAAAUGGGCUACAUUCCCUUAUAGGGAACCACGAAUCAAGGGCUGAAACGCCCUUAAGAAGGAGGAUUUAGAAGUAAGUGAAUUUAGAGCGGUCCACUGAAAUUGGCACUAAAGCAUGCACAUACCGCCCGUCACCCUCCCCAUCUUUCCCUCCAAAUUAAGUAAAACGCUAUUUAAGACAAGGGGAGGUAAGUCGUAACAAGGUAAGUGUACUAGAAAGUGUACUUGACAA
rnacentral:ncRNA from 1 species